rnacentral:misc_RNA from 1 species
UCCGAGUUGGCUCCGGCAGUCUCCCAUGAGUCCCCGCCAUUACGCGCUGGCAACAUGGAACGAGGGUUGCGCUCGUUGCGGGACUUAACCCAACAUCUCACGACACGAGCUGACGACAACCAUGCACCACCUGUGAACCGGCCCCAAAGGGGAAACCACAUUUCUGCGGCGGUCCGGUCCAUGUCAAGCCUUGGUAAGGUGGGGAUGACGUUGGUCAGUCAA